rnacentral:lncRNA from 1 species
GAAAUUUGCUUAAUGAUUUUGUCUGAUUCCAGGAGAAGGGAAUACAAAAAGAGCCAUUGCACAGUAUCAAAGAAGCAAAAAAGCUAAACUGCAUAGCGCCAAUAGAGCACAAGGUCAAAGAGACCAAACCAGUUCUAUGUGGAUUGAUGACAUUCUACACAAAGAGCUCAAGGACUUAAUCAUGUGUGAGACUCGAGGUUGCAGUUUUUUAACAUGUAUUAAAUGCAGGUCUUCCUUGCACCACACACUCUAUAUAAAAUACAUGACAUCAAUUAUUCUGGCUUCAUCAUGGCUCCCAUUUUCUCAUAUAAUCUAGUCCCUUUUCUCUCUCUUAUAGUAUGGCACCUUCCUGUGGUCUUGGCUGCAAACGGACUUCUCCGAACAGAAUGGGCAGAUGAGAAUAAAUUGUUCCAAUAACCAAAAAAGUGGCUGGAAAAGGAAUGAUGGAACACCUAGAGAUAGUCCAGACAUCAAAGUUGCCAAGGUCUUCCACUGUAUCUGAGCCAUGGUCAGUCAUUCUGAUUUUUGUCUUGCCAUUUGACUUAGACAAUCUAGAAGAGAAUGAGACUGUUAACUUUAUGCAACUCUGCAUCAGUUAAAUUCAAUUCAUUCUUAAGUCAGGCUCCCCAUGAUGCCAUUGAUCUUGUAAAACAGGCAAACAAUUACAACAAUACUUAUUUCCAUGCCUACUAUAUAUAAGGUACAGUAUUUGGUGUUUUGGAUUAUAC